AAUAGAAAUGAGGAUUAGACGAGG
rnacentral:piRNA from 1 species